CGGUAAUUCCAGCUCCAAUAGCGUAUACUAAAGUUGUUGCAGUUAAAAAGCUCGUAGUUGGAUUUCUGCGGGGACGGAGCGGCCGGACGCAACUUGCGUCUCGAGCUAGCGCUUUCCCCACAUCCUGCCGCGAACCGUGCUACCAUUAGCUUGGUGGCGCUGGGGAUCGGCUCGAUUACUUUGAGAAAAAUAGAGUGUUCAAAGCAGGCCACACGCCUUGAAUAAGUUAGCAUGGAAUAAUGAUUAAGGACUUCGGUUCUAUUUUGUUGGUGUUCGGGACUGAAGUAAUGAUUGAUAGGGACAGUUGGGGCGGUCUGUAUUCCAAAGCGAGAGGUGAAAUUCUUAGACCUUCGGAAGACAAACAGCUGCGAAAGCGUUCCGCAAGGAUGUUCCCUUUGAUCAAGAACGAAAGUUGGGGGAUCGAAGACGAUCAGAUACCGUCGUAGUCUCAACUAUAAACUAUACCAGCUAGGGAUCGGCCAACGUUUAACUUUAUCGACUUGGUCGGCACCUUAUGAGAAAUCAAAGCAUCUGGGUUCCGGGGGGAGUAUGGUCGCAAGGCUGAAACUUAAAGGAAUUGACGGAAGGGCACCACCAGGCGUGGAGCCUGUGGCUUAAUUUGACUCAACACGGGAAAACUUACCAGGUCCAGACAUAGGAAGGAUUGACAGAUUGAUAGCUCUUUCUUGAUUCUGUGGGUGGUGGUGCAUGGCCGUUUUUAGUCGGUGAAGUGAUUUGUCUGCUUAAUUGCGUUAACGGACGAGACCCCAGCCUGCUAAAUAGCGCGGCCGAGCUUUGCUCGGUGCGAGCUUCUUAGAGGGACCAUGAUGCGCGAUAGCACAAGGAAGUUUGGGGCAACAACAGGUCUGUGAUGCCCUUAGAUGUUCUGGGCCGCACACGGGCUACACUGGCGCCUGCAACGAGCAUAUCAGCUGGCCCGAGAGGGUCUUGGCUAAUCUUUGGAACCGGCGCCGUGCUUGGGAUUGACCAUUGCAAUUGUUGGUCAUGCAACGAGGAAUGCCUUGUAAACGCGAGUCAUCAGCUCGCAUUGAAUACGUCCCUGCCCUUUGUACACACCGCCCGUCGCUCCUACCGAUGAAUGUUCCGAUGAAAUUUUCGGAGAGCGCCAGAGAACGGGGCUCUGCCUUGCAGAUCUGGAGGCUCAAAGUCACUUAAAUCUGAACAUUUCGAGGAAGGAGAAGUCGUAACAAGGUAGCCG
rnacentral:rRNA from 1 species